rnacentral:rRNA from 1 species
AUGGCAUUUCCUAUUCAGCGCGCGUCGCGCCGGUUAAAGGCACCAGCGCAAAUGGGCACACGCCCCUCCACCUCCAUUGCUACUGCAUGGGCUGGCCCAUUAAAAGUACACAAGGGAAAUUCGAUCGCUGGUCUUAGGAAGCUUCCCAGGCUGGGCCAGCCCAUGCACAAAGUUCAGCGCAAAUUAGGAUCGAGUGUCUACACUGUCGGGCUAUUGACUAUAGCGGACCUUGGGCCCCUGAAGCAACCGGGAAAAGCUAAUUUCCUGCCGGCAGGAAUUUUACAACAGAUCCGCACGACAUGGAUUCCGUUUAUUCUGGAUCGAACGGGAAAAGCUAAUUUCCUGCCGGCAGGAAUUUUACAACAGAUCCGCACGACAUGGAUUCCGUUUAUUCUUGAUCGAACGGUCCUCCUCUGGGGAUCUGAGCUAGUGGGACCGUCAGGAGAGAUACGCGUCUCAGGAAAAGGGUUCGACCGCCCAAAUACGACGAGGAACAGUGAUGUACGAUCGUCCCUGGGUCGCGUUUUUGAAAACAAAGUGACGGCGACGAGCAGAGCCGUGGCUCGCGUCCGUUUGCGAAAAUUGUGCGUGGAUCAGAUAGGUCACGCAGCGGAAGGCGAAAAAAUGGCGGCGGCUAGCAAUAUGGGAGAAGGCGCCUCCCUGCCCGACAGCGGACUCGAGUUUCUACUGGAUCCGCCAGAUCCGUUGGUGUCAAGGGGCAUCGUGCCGUCGGCUAAGGCUGAUGCCGACUUCUCCUGCACGGUUGUGGUUGGACACCUCGGCGGCGCUGCUGAGCGCGGCGGCAAGAAGAAAGAGUCGCCAACCCAGUCCGUGAAAUCGACCGGGAAGGUGAACUCAGAGGCGCCGGGGUGGACCAGAAGCAUAGAUUGCUAUCAUGAUCGAGUGAUAUACCAUUGUAUAUGGAAGACGAAUGCAACAUCUAAAACAUCUGAAUAUGAUUUCAGGGUGAGAGUUGGCCGUGCACCUCUGCAUAGGGCACCCUGCCCUGGUAGAGUCACUCUACUGGAAGAAACAAUCCGGAGGUACGCUGAUAAACCAUCGGACAAUGUUGUGAAACCAGAGAUUGGGAUGAGUUUUGACUCCCUGGGAAUUGGGAAAGCCUACGAUAUUAUUCAGUGGUUGAACUUCUGA